rnacentral:rRNA from 1 species
CUUGGUCAUUUAGAGGAAGUAAAAGUCGUAACAAGGUCUCCGUUGGUGAACCAGCGGAGGGAUCAUUACCGAGUUUACAACUCCCAAACCCCUGUGAACAUACCAAUUGUUGCCUCGGCGGAUCAGCCCGCUCCCGGUAAAACGGGACGGCCCGCCAGAGGACCCCUAAACUCUGUUUCUAUAUGUAACUUCUGAGUAAAACCAUAAAUAAAUCAAAACUUUCAACAACGGAUCUCUUGGUUCUGGCAUCGAUGAAGAACGCAGCAAAAUGCGAUAAGUAAUGUGAAUUGCAGAAUUCAGUGAAUCAUCGAAUCUUUGAACGCACAUUGCGCCCGCCAGUAUUCUGGCGGGCAUGCCUGUUCGAGCGUCAUUUCAACCCUCAAGCCCUCGGGUUUGGUGUUGGGGAUCGGCGAGCCCUUGCGGCAAGCCGGCCCCGAAAUCUAGUGGCGGUCUCGCUGCAGCUUCCAUUGCGUAGUAGUAAAACCCUCGCAACUGGUACGCGGCGCGGCCAAGCCGUUAAACCCCCAACUUCUGAAUGUUGACCUCGGAUCAGGUAGGAAUACCCGCUGAACUUAAGCAUAUCAAUAAGCGGAGGA